rnacentral:rRNA from 1 species
AGUGAACGCUGGCGGUAGGCCUAACACAUGCAAGUCGAACGGCAGCACAGUAAGAGCUUGCUCUUACGGGUGGCGAGUGGCGGACGGGUGAGGCAUACAUCGGAAUCUACUUUUUCGUGGGGGCUAACGUAGGGAAACUUACGCUAAUACCGCAUACGACCUACGGGUGAAAGCAGGGGAUCUUCGGACCUUGCGCGAUUGCAUGAGCCGAUGUCGGAUUAGCUAGUUGGCGGGGUAAAGGCCCACCAAGGCUACGAUCCGUAGCUGGUCUGAGAGGAGGGGCAGCCCCACCGGAAAGGAAACGAGGGCCAGACCACAAACGGAGGGCAGGAGGGGGAAAGGUGGACAAGGGGAGCAAGCCUGAUCCAGCCAUACCGCGUGGGGGAAGAAGGCCUUCGGGUUGGAAAGCCAUUUUGUUGGGAAAGAAAAGCAGCAGGUUAAUACCGCGCUGAUCUGACGGUACCCAAAGAAUAAGCACCGGCUAACUUCGUG